rnacentral:tRNA from 1 species
GGGCCUAUAGCUCAGUUGGUUAGAGCGCACGCCUGAUAAGCGUGAGGUCAGUGGUCCGAUUCCACUUAGGCCCA